CGUCGCCCGCUGCCACGUCAGCGAAUCGGUCGCUCGGCGAGGGCCGAGCGAUGGUGUUGUUCGAUAAGGCAGCGGUGCUUCUUCAUCGUCGGGAGCUUCUUCCUCCCCCGAGCCAUCGACGACGGGAAAUGCGCUGACAGAGUCUCUGUACCGCGCAAGUUGGGCGUGAAUUCCGGAGAAAGCUUUUAUAUAGGGCUGCGACGCGGUCACUGUUUGCUACUUACUUGCCCGCUUUCCUGCGCUCAUCAACCAAGGAACCCGGCAGUUGAACUGUACUAAUCUGGACUGGGCGCACGUGUUGGUCGUCAUGGGCCGGGUGGAACGAAGAAAUGGCAGCACCAUCUUGACGGCGUUCCUGCUACUGCUGCCGUUGGCGUGGCUAACGCUGAAGACCGAGAGAUGCUCGGCGGCGAUCCUACUAAACAGCGCCCGCCAGUGGUGCAGCGUGUGCCCAUCCUCGGGUCAGCCCCUCGGUAACCGCUACGCCAUGUCCGCCUUUUGCUGCAGCAUCUUCACAAUCUGCUGUCCGCAAGGCACCGGCCUCAAUCCCUACCGACGAUGGCAAUGGAGCUAACUGUAUACUCGUAUUUCUUAUCAUGGUUUUUCUUAUUUAACUUUCUUUCUCGUACCUUAGUGGCACUGUAGACACUACUGUAAUAUAAAAUUCCUCGU